rnacentral:sRNA from 1 species
GUCAGUGCAAUCCGGAACCUCCUGAGAAUGUGUGAUUGAGGGACGCUGAUGUCGGGGGAAACCCUCCUUGCGAAAAGCGGGAUAGAUCGAAAGACAAAGACCGGGUAAUAAACUAAAGCGCCGAAGUUGGGCGCUUUAGUUUU